AGGCGCUGAUGGAGGAGCCGUGCUGAAGGCCCUGGGCUGGUGGAGGGCCUGCCUGGGGAAUGACGUGUAUCGUGGGUUAGAUGGAGCCUGACUCUGAAACCAGGACUCUGUCUGAGGAGAGCUGCUGGAGGAGCUGAGACGCUGGAGGACGACUAGGAAUCGACCAACAAGGAUUCCUCAACGUGUUUCUGGAGCGGAGGCAAGCUGGUAGGGGAGCCGUGAAUCUGGAGGAUGACCAUCACUCUACCAACAAGGGUUACUUUAGGGCCAGACUCACGCUGUUUGUUCCAGACCAGGACACUGGCUGAGGAGAGCUGAUGGAGGAGCCAAGACACGAGCCAAGAGGACGACAUCACUCCACCAACCAGGAUCCUCAGACAAAUUACGUUUGUAACCAGACCAGGAAUCUGGAUGACUGAUGGAGAAGCCGUACAUCUGGAAGGCAAAUCCUGAGGACCACCAGGACUCUACCAUCAAGGACUAGACACACCUGAGCUGAACCUCACCUGAUCCUGUUUGGUCGGGGGUAGACACACCUGAGCUAAACCCGCCCUGAUCCUGACAUCCUGCUGGUCCCGUCUCCUCAGUUCACCUGAGCCUCGUCCUCCAGAAGACCUGCUGAGCUCAGCAGUCUGAGGCUGAUGGAUCAAUGACCUCCAGUGGGAGUGAUCUUCUUGACACCACAUGUAACCGUGUGCUUCCACACGCCUUUCCCUCACGUCUGUCACUAACUUCACUACUCUCUACUGCUUCCUCUUUUCUUCCUUCUCUGUGGUUCGAACCUUUACACGGAAGGCGCGUCUUCCUGCCCUCAGAGGGUUUAGCGUUAGGGUUGAGAGUCAGGGUUUAGAGUCAGGGACAGAGCUGGUCAGGGAGGACUGCUUUUACACAAACCUCUUCACUUGCUUUCGGAAUGGUGGUGACAUUUUGAAAAGAUUCAUUUGGGAAAAUGUUUUCCUCUGCUUUCCUUUACAAAAUUGUAUUAAACUUCUGUCAAGUGUUUUUGUUUAUAUAUUAAAAUCCCACAUUGACUUCUA